rnacentral:lncRNA from 1 species
UCGAAUUACAAAAAAAUAAUUUAAUAAUGUAAACAAAUAAAUAAGAGAUGUUUGUUAGUGCAUAAGAGAAGAAAAACAAAAUAGACAUUUGUUUUUACGUGUAAGAAGAAAUUAAUAGAUUAUGUCAUCUAAACUUAGAAAUUGGUGGAUGGAUGACCUAAUAAUGUGAGCUUACUCUUACACACGCACAUAGAGUGGGCG